rnacentral:rRNA from 1 species
AACGACUCUCGGCAACGGAUAUCUCGGCUCUCGCAUCGAUGAAGAACGUAGCGAAAUGCGAUACUUGGUGUGAAUUGCAGAAUCCCGUGAACCAUCGAGUCUUUGAACGCAAGUCGCGCCCGAAGCCUUCUGGCCGAGGGCACGUCUGCCUGGGCGUCACGC